rnacentral:rRNA from 1 species
GCAAAGAUCGAGCGGACAGAUGGGAGCUUGCUCCCUGAAGUCAGCGGCGGACGGGUGAGUAACACGUGGGCAACCUGCCUGUAAGACUGGGAUAACUCCGGGAAACCGGGGCUAAUACCGGAUAACUCUUUUCCUCACAUGAGGAAAAGCUGAAAGAUGGCAUCUCGCUAUCACUUACAGAUGGGCCCGCGGCGCAUUAGCUAGUUGGUGAGGUAACGGCUCACCAAGGCCACGAUGCGUAGCCGACCUGAGAGGGUGAUCGGCCACACUGGGACUGAGACACGGCCCAGACUCCUACGGGAGGCAGCAGUAGGGAAUCUUCCGCAAUGGACGAAAGUCUGACGGAGCAACGCCGCGUGAGUGAUGAAGGUUUUCGGAUCGUAAAACUCUGUUGUCAGGGAAGAACAAGUACCGGAGUAACUGCCGGUACCUUGACGGUACCUGACCAGAAAGCCACGGCUAACUACGUGCCAGCAGCCGCGGUAAUACGUAGGUGGCAAGCGUUGUCCGGAAUUAUUGGGCGUAAAGCGCGCGCAGGCGGUUCCUUAAGUCUGAUGUGAAAGCCCCCGGCUCAACCGGGGAGGGUCAUUGGAAACUGGGGAACUUGAGUGCAGAAGAGAAGAGUGGAAUUCCACGUGUAGCGGUGAAAUGCGUAGAGAUGUGGAGGAACACCAGUGGCGAAGGCGACUCUUUGGUCUGUAACUGACGCUGAGGCGCGAAAGCGUGGGGAGCAAACAGGAUUAGAUACCCUGUAGUCCACGCCGUAAACGAUGAGUGCUAAGUGUUAGAGGGUUUCCGCCCUUUAGUGCUGCAGCAAACGCAUUAAGCACUCCGCCUGGGAGUACGGCCGCAAGGCUGAAACUCAAGGAUUGACGGGGGCCCGCACAGCGUGGAGCAUGUGUUUAAUUCGAAGCACGCGAAGAACCUUACCAGGUCUUGACAUCUCCUG